AAGUUAAAUGAAAAUUCUUUGUAUUUAUUUUGGCUUUUAGUCAUUCAGGAUCUGUGCCUUGCAAAAUUGUAUCAUAAGUCACAUGUCUUGCUUUCCUUGUUCUGUUUAAACUCAUCAAGUUGAUUUAGUUAGUAGUAUUAGUUUCACCAAAAAAAAUUUCUUUGGUUAAACAAAAGAGGGACUUAUUAGAAGAUAUCAGGUAUAUCACGGACUCUUUGAGAAGGCCAAGAUAUGCCAGAGUCUGAAAUUCUUGAUAGGAGCAAAUUUCAGCCACAAAUGGGUCUUCAUCAUCUUCCACUCAUAGGAAUUUUUGAUUCCUAGGACUUGAUGCUAGAGGCUUUCCAUAGAAGAAACACGUGUCUCUUCCACCUUGCUUGCCGGAAGACUGAUGACCUGUCUGUGGUUCUUCUUCUCAUUGCUUACCUCCAAAGUCAGGCCUCCUGAGGGUACAACAGAACCAAGGGCACCUGCCUGAAUCAGAAAAUUGGGCUAGUUUGGGGAUGUGAAUUUUCUGGAAUCUGCCUCAGAGUGUGGGGAGUUACCAAGGUGUAGGGAUGGUGGUUAAACAAUGUAAUUCACAGAUGUCUUUUUUGAUUUCUUACCCUUACCAUUUUCUUCUCUAUCCAGGGUAGCUCAGAAUGAAAGUGUUUAUAGGGACUAAUUACGGAAUUUUUUUUUCUCACCAGAAUGUAAUUUCUUUGAGGAAAGGGCUGUGGAAUUUUCUUAAUUGUUAUAAACAGCAUUUAUUGAACAGAGAACAGGUCCAGCCUCUUCCAGAUUAACUCUGUUAAACUAUUGUUGGGAAACUUCUGCUUCUGGAAAGAUGGAGUACAUGUGCUUUUCCCGAUUCUUGCUUUUAAGUACAACUAAAACCUUGGACAUUACAAAGAAGACAAUACAAGAAGACUCUGAAAGAUAGAUGAAGGAAGGUUGACUACAGAACUCAGGACCCAAGGAACAACAUGGGGAUGUCCAAGGAGGCUGAGUGGGAAAAUGGACUUCCCCCCCGCACCUGGCAGCAAUAAGGUACCCUAAGCCCUUCUCCUGCUGGAUGGGGUCAGAGGAAGUCAGGUAAAACAGAGUUAUAAAUAAGACCCAGAGCUCCUAGCAUAAUCCUCAAAAUGUUGAGAUUUCAAUUAAAAAUCAUGUGUGUGAAGAACCAAGAAAAACUUGAGUGAAAAAAACAAUCAAUAAACACCAACACUGAGACAACAAAGAUGUUAAAAUUAUCUGAUGAAGUUUUGAAAGCAAUCACCCUGUAAUUCCUUCAAAAUGGAAAAAAAAAAAAAAUAGAAAGCCUCAGCAGCAGAGAAACAAAAUAUAUAACAAAGAACCAAAUGGAAAUUUUAAACCUGAAAAAUGUAAUCACUGAGAUUUUAAAAGUCAAUGAAUGGGCUUAAAAGCAGAAUGAAGGGAGAAGAAGAAACAAUCAGUGAACUGAAGAGAGGGUGAUAUCAACUAUUCCAUCUGAAGAAAAGAUGAAUAUAACAAAAGAUCUGACAUUUGUGAUGUUGGAGUCUCAGAGGAUAGGAGAAAGAGGGUGAACUGAAAAAAAAUGAAGAAAAUAAUGGCUGAAAACUUUUCAACGUCAGUAAAAGAUAUGAAGUGAGAGAUUCAAGAAGAUGAGUAAAUUCCAUAUAGGAUAAACAUAAAUCUAUACCGAGACACAUCAUAGUCAAAUUUCUGAAAAAAAUAAAGACAGAGUCUUUAAAGAAAUGACACUACCUACAGAGGGAAAAAGAAUUUGAGUGACAGCAGAUUUCUCAUGGAAAGUAUGGAGGGCAGAAGGAAGUGGCACAACAAUUUUCAAAUGCUGAAA